AUGUUGCUGCUGAGCCGGUCCUGGCUGAGCCUCCAGCCGUUGGCAGCAUCCCCACGGCUGCUCCUGAUGCUAGUUGGGGGCUCCUGGCUCCUGGCCCAUGUCCUGGCCUGGACCUACACCUUCUAUGACAACUGCCACCGGCUCUGGUGUUUCCCACAGCCCCCAGAACCCUGGCUUUGGGUCACCAGGGGCUGGUAAGUGUGGCAGCAGGAUGGGUGGGGGGCUCUCAAGGUGGAUGGACAUCCAGAGGGGUGGGAAUGGGCCUCACCCCACACCCAAAGUCCCUCCCUUACUGUUCUCCAUGGUUUCUGAUGGUCCUCAUUCAUGUCAGCCACCACUGCUCCAAAAGACAAGGCAUUUUACAAGUUCCUGAAGCCCUGGCUGGGGGGUGGGCUCCUGGUGAAUGCCAGUGACAAGUGGAGCCGCCACCAUCAGAUGCUGACGCCCGUCUUCCGUUUCAACAUCCUGAAGCCCUAUAUGAAGAUUUUCACUGACAGUGUGAACAUCAUGCACUGAGCCAAGUGGCAGCUUCUGGCCUCAGAGGGCAGUGCCCAUCUGGACAUGUUUGAACACAUUAGCCUCAAGACCUUGGAUAGUAUGCAGAAAUGUGUCUUCAGCUUUGACAGGCAUUGUCAGGAAAAGCCUAGUGACUAUAUUGCCGCCAUCUUGGAGCUCAGUUCCCUUGUGGCAAAAAGAAACCGGAAUAUCCUCUUGCACAUGGACUUUCUGUAUUAUCUCACCCCUGAUGGGCAGCAUUUCGGCACGGCCUGCCGCCUGGCGCAUGACUUCACAGAAGCCAUCAUCCAGGAGCAGUGCUGCACCCUUACUAGCCAGGGUAUUGAUGAUUUCCACCAAGUAAAGGCCAAAUCCAAGACUUUGGACUUCAUUGAUGUGCUCCUGCUGAGUAAGGAUGAAGAUGGGAAGGAGUUGUCUGAUGAGGACAUAAGAGCGGAAGCUGACACCUUCAUGUUUGAGGGCCAUGACACCACAGCCAGUGGUCUCUCCUGGGUCCUACAUCACCUCGCACAGCACCCAGAAUACCAGGAACGCUGCCGGCAAGAAGUGCGAGAGCUUCUGAAGGACCGUGAGCCUGUUGAGAUUGAAUGGGAUGACUUGGCCCAGCUGCCCUUCCUGACCAUGUGCAUUAAGGAGAGCCUGCGGCUGCAUCCCCCAGUUCCUGCCAUCUCCCGAUGCUGCACCCAAGACAUUGUGCUCCCAGACGGCCGGAUCAUCCCUAAAGGCAUUAUCUGCAUCAUCAGUAUUUUUGGGAUCCAUCACAACCCAAAUGUGUGGCCAGACCCUGAGGUCUACAACCCCUUCCGCUUCUACCAAGAGAACAUCAAGGAGAGGUCACCUCUGGCUUUUAUUCCCUUCUCGGCAGGGCCCAGAAACUGCAUUGGGCAGGCGUUCGCCAUGGCUGAGAUGAAGGUGGUCCUGGCACUCACGCUGCUGCGCUUCCGCAUCCUGCCGACCCACCUUAAGCCCGGCAGGAAGCCGGAGCUGAUAUUGCGUGCAGAGGGUGGACUUUGGCUGCGGGUGGAGCCCCUGGGUGUGAACUCACAGUGACUGUCCUACCCAUCCACCCACCUUUGUAGAUUCCCAGGAAUAAAACUAUGCUGACACCUCU